AAGCGGUUAUGACCAGACUUGGACAGGUUGAUCAUCCACGGUUCUCCGUGGUGCACUCUGCCUGUUCAGGCCAGCAUCAGUUCGCUUCGGGGGAUAAAGGCUUUGGGAAUGUGGCUCCCUCGGGAGUGUUAUAGCCCAUUGUGUAAUACCCUGAUCCGGACUGAGGUUCGCGCAUCUGCAAGGAUGCUGGCGUAAUGGUCAUCAC
rnacentral:rRNA from 1 species